rnacentral:misc_RNA from 1 species
UCAGAGACAUUUUCUUGAUCAGAAAGAUUGCAGACAUGUUUCUUAUCAUCGUUGUUCUAGCAAGUGUUGCCUUCACAGAUGUUAUAUUAAAUAUAGAAUCAAAGAGUACGGGAUGUGCCUGCCCCAGAGUCUACAUUCCUCUUUGUGGAGAAGAUGGAGUAACGUAUGACAACGAAUGUACAAUGAAUUGCACGUAAGCGAAAAUACUUGUUCAUAACAUUUUUUUUCUUCAAAUAUUUCUUUGUUUUUUUUUUCUAUUGAUUUCAUGAUAUCAAUUUGAUACAUAAAAAAAUCCACAUUGCAUGGGAUUUCAGACACUGUUAGGAAAUUGUUAAAAAAAAAUCACAUGAUGAACCUGUGCAAUUUAGUCAUCUGAAUAUUUACUGUAAUGUUUGGAAAUGUGACUGAACAACAGAGCUAUGCCGUUAAAUCUCUUUUCAGUUAAAUUUCAGUCAUAUUUCAGUUGACUGAAUGGGACAGGCUCAUCUUGUGGAUUACUCUUUACAAAUUACUAACAAUGCCUGGAAUUCCAAUAUUAAUUUUUUAAUGAAAAUGAUCAUUUGACUAUUGAAAGAGGGGCUACAAAACUGCAUGACGGAAGUUGUGAAUCGUCUACUGCCUGUCCCUGUCCCCUGACCUACAUUCCAGUCUGUGGGGAUGACGGAAAGACCUACGAUAAUGAAUGUCUGUUAAAAUGCGCCAGCUCCGUUGGUAUGGCAUACAAGGGAGCGUGUCAAGAAGCAAAGUUAGCCGCAACCGUCGAGCCGGUGUGUACUUGUAACAAAAUGUACUUCCCUGUGUGUGGUAGUGACGGGGUGACGUACAACAACGAGUGUCUGAUGACCUGCCACGGCGCUGUAAAGUCACAUGAUGGCGAGUGUAUAAGAAUGGCAGAUUGCGCAUGCCAGCGAAUCAUGAAUCCAGUUUGCGGGAAAGACGGCAAAACCUACAACAAUGAAUGCUUGAUGAACUGCGCGAAUGUGAUAGAGGACUACCCUGGUGCCUGCAAAAUAUAGUCCAUAGUCAUAGAGAGACGCAUAUACAAUAUUUCCUGCUUAAGUUUUUGUUGCUUGUUUAACCAGAAAAUUUAUUUAACUUAAUUGAAUACAUGUAAAUGUACCUAUAUUUUCCAUUAUGAUACGAUCAACAAAAUGCUUGAAACUGGAUUUUAAAAUUAUUGAUCUCUUGGAGACUAUACUGGACAUCAGUGUAUUGAAAAAAAUAUGUCCUUUGAUUUCCUUUGAUAACAUUUUAUCCUAAACUUUUGUUUGUACAUGUAUCUAAUGUUUUCUUGAUAUUAUGAUUAUGAUGAAAUAAAACUAAUCCUUGGUUUGCAUCUAAAAAAAAUUGACAUAAUGUUGAUGAUUGAACAAAACUUAUCCUUGGUUUGUAUAUAUAAUACUGAUGAAUAAAUAAAACUUAUCCAGAAAGCUU